UUUUUUUCCUCAUUUGCUUCCUGCUCCUUCAUUAAACUCUGUUCCCAGACAGCCGGGAAGAGCAGCCAGCCAGUUCAACACGGUUCCCACUCACCGUGCCCAGAGCCAGGCUACACAUAUAGCAGUUGCCCACGUUACUGACAAGGGAUGAACAAAUGUCAGAUGUGGCGGUCAGAUGGGAUGAUGCCAGAGCUGUGACUUGGUCCAUCAGAAGGGUACUGUCCAAGGAACAUUUUGAAAGAUAUUGUACAUGACCUGUCAGUUCUGAAAUAUGGGUGCAGUGUUAAUGAGUGUGCUUAAGUAAGCCCGGCCCCUACGGAUGCUUUCUCUCACCUUGGACAUUGGAUGGGACUGCGUAUGAGCAUCUCCCAAAGGAAAAGAUUGAAGACAAAGCGCCAGUCUCCUGGUGAGAUCUGCUGGGAAUACCAACUACUCUCGUUACUGAGCGUGCAUGGCUGGUGUCAGCUGGCUUCCUGAUGCCAACAGAAGACGGAGAAAUAAGCCAGGGUAUACCUUCUAUGACCUUCAAGACACUGGGCACUUAGACCCCCGUCAUUAGAGGGCUGUGCUGAAGAAGACAUGCUCCUACUUCAGUUGGUGGGAGCAGCACCUUCUCUUCCAGGGUUUGACACUCUUUGAAUGUGAUCUGCUUCCAGCUGACAUUUCCCAACUUGGGUUUUGUUUGAGAAACCGAAAUCACUUAACACUGCUACUAGCUCGUUGUUUCUGACCUCACUUUCACAGUGGAAUUUCAUUUUGUCCUUCAGUCCUGUGGCUUGCCUUAAUCUGCAGAUAUAGCUUUACAAUGUUUAUUCCUUAAAAAAGAUCCCAAAAAACAGUGACCUGGAGUUUAGCCAGCUGUAGCCAGACUCUGAGUUUGGCUUUGUGUCCGUAAGCCACAGUUGGGAGAAAUGCAAGAAAUGGCCAAAUGGAAUAAAACAAAUGAUCUAUUUA